rnacentral:lncRNA from 1 species
AUGAGGAGGAAGGCGCAGAGCCAGGGGUCGCUCAGGCCCCGGGAUUACAGAGCUCGGCUCCACGCAGGCUGCCCGAGGUCGCUCCGAGGCAUGCAGCACAGCAGCCAGACUCCUCACAAGCAUCCGAACCACCGCUUUGUCUGCCCUGCAGCGCCAGAAAAUACCUUUAUGUCUUUCAGGUUGCUUGCAGUCAUUGCUCUUACAAAGCUGCAAAUGCACGGAAUCGUUAAGAAAGCGUCGCCUACCAAUGCAGACCCUUCAGGUCAGCUGUCCCGCUGCCCGAGGCAGCCGGGGAACGAGUACAUUUGCACGGUGACUGCUGCAACAGCUCCUCACCCGGUUCCUCGUCUCCCCCGGCAAAGCCGCCCGGCCGGCUGGAGCCGAGGGGAGCCGGAGACCGCGGGGCGCGGAGGGGACGGGACUCGGGCCUCGCCGCGCCGCCGCCGGGCUCCCCGCCGAGCCCCCGGCCCCGCGCCCGCCGCCCCACUCACCCCGGCCGCGGGUCGCUCAUGGUGGCGCCGGGCGGCGGCGCCCAGGGGCAGCGCUCGGGGUCCGCGCGGCGCUGCCGGGCGGGGGCCUCGCGCUGCCGCCGCGUCCGCGCCGUUGCCAGGGCACGGCCACGCGGUGACGCCGCGGGGCGGGGCGGGGCCGGGGCUCCCCGCGGGCCGCGAGCGGGCGCUGCGGCGGUCGGGGGGCGCGGCGCUGCCCGGCACUGCUCGGUACGCGCGGCACGGCCCGGGCAUCCUUCCCCUGCUUCCAGGACAAAUGGCAAGCCCCGAGGCACGCACGUUGGCGAGCUCUGCGCCUGCUGGGAUAAGCGAGAUGUGCCCCCCCCACCCCGUGCUGCACCUCCGCAGAAGAACUGCAGAAGAACUCCAUCCUCUGCUUCAGAUGCUCGUGCAGCAGCAGUUUGCAGGCUGCACCCACACGUCUCCGCAGCAUGAGCUGUGCACGCCGAACCCCAGCCUUCUCUUCUGCCUGUGCAAAGGCCAGCACAGAACUGAGCCUGUGCAACCCGCUCCCAGCCCUCGCGGCAGUAUCAAGCAGACUGCCACUGGGAAGCACUGCUCAGAAGCCCCAGCUGAUGAAAUUGGGACAAGUUGCUGUAGCACAACCUGGCUGACAGGAUUACUCUGCCUCACUCAGUUGCCUGCGAUCCUCAUCUUCUUGCUCCAUCCUUUUUGCCCCCACCGUGGGAGACAACAGUUAAAACAAGGAUUUUCCAUGGACCAUACAGAUGGGGUAUGGAUCACACACACCUAA